UACGUAGGGGGCAAGCGUUGUCCGGAUUUAUUGGGCGUAAAGAGCGUGUAGGCGGCCACACAGGUCUGCUGUGAAAACUCGAGGCUCAACCUCGAGCUGUCGGUGGAAACCGUGUGGCUAGAGUCCGGAAGAGGAGAGUGGAAUUCCCGGUGUAGCGGUGAAAUGCGCAGAUAUCGGGAAGAACACCCGUGGCGAAGGCGGCUCGCUGGACCGCAACUGACGCUGAGGCACGAAAGCGUGGGGAGCAAACAGG
rnacentral:rRNA from 1 species